GAUGAACGCUGGCGGCGUGCCUAAUACAUGCAAGUCGAGCGAACAGACGAGGAGCUUGCUCCUCUGACGUUAGCGGCGGACGGGUGAGUAACACGUGGAUAACCUACCUAUAAGACUGGGAUAACUUCGGGAAACCGGAGCUAAUACCGGAUAAUAUAUUGAACCGCAUGGUUCAAUAGUGUAAGACGGCUUUGCUGUCACUUAUAGAUGGAUCCGCGCCGCAUUAGCUAGUUGGUAAGGUAACGGCUUACCAAGGCGACGAUGCGUAGCCGACCUGAGAGGGUGAUCGGCCACACUGGAACUGAGACACGGUCCAGACUCCUACGGGAGGCAGCAGUAGGGAAUCUUCCGCAAUGGGCGAAAGCCUGACGGAGCAACGCCGCGUGAGUGAUGAAGGUCUUCGGAUCGUAAAACUCUGUUAUUAGGGAAGAACAAAUGUGUAAGUAACUAUGCACGUCUUGACGGUACCUAAUCAGAAAGCCACGGCUAACUACGUG
rnacentral:rRNA from 1 species